UGAAAGAUGGCACCAACUCUAACUUGGACCUUUUGAUGGGAUUCUUAGUAGCAGCUUGACCUGUCAGAGUUGCUCAUCCCAGGUAUAGAAGGCUUUCAAUGCAGUUCUCUUACCUUUGCUAUUAAUUGUGUGUACACUUUAUGUAUUGUCAUACAGUUUUGAUUUGACACUAUUGCAUUAGGAGGAGAAAGGUUCCAAGGUAAUCGAAAUGGCUAAAAUAGGAGAAAUGUUAGAAUUAACUAAUUGAUUUUGUAUGAUGACAUGGGUUAGAUUUGAGAAGCUAAGAAAAGACUCAGUUGUAGCUCUAUCUAAAGAUAAUGAUCUCAAUUAACUUGGAACAAUUUGAUUGUUUGCCUCUUUCACCUGUACUUAGUGGUUCCACCCUGAUAUUUGGAUGUGCACUGCUGGAUUGCUCGAAGCAAUUCAUUGUUGCUGAGCAUGUUGAGAACUAUCACUGCCACUACUGUUGGCAUAAUGCUGCGAUCAAGUAUCUUUCAUUAAUGGAAUGAAAUGAGGUAAUUGU